rnacentral:rRNA from 1 species
ACGCUGGCGGCAGGCUUAACACAUGCAAGUCGAACGGUAACAGGGAUUAGCUUGCUAAUCUGCUGACGAGUGGCGGACGGGUGAGUAAUGCUUGGGAAUCUGGCUUAUGGAGGGGGAUAACUACGGGAAACUGUAGCUAAUACCGCGUAAAAUCUUCGGAUUAAAGGGUGGGACUUUCGAGCCACCUGCCAUAAGAUGAGCCCAAGUGGGAUUAGGUAGUUGGUUAGGUAAAGGCUGACCAAGCCGACGAUCUCUAGCUGGUCUGAGAGGAUGACCAGCCACACUGGAACUGAGACACGGUCCAGACUCCUACGGGAGGCAGCAGUGGGGAAUAUUGCACAAUGGGGGGAACCCUGAUGCAGCCAUGCCGCGUGAAUGAAGAAGGCCUUCGGGUUGUAAAGUUCUUUCGUUGACGAGGAAGGUUGAUAGGUUAAUAGCCUAUCAAAUUGACGUUAAUCACAGAAGAAGCACCGGCUAACUCCGUGCCAGCAGCCGCGGUAAUACGGGGGGUGCGAGCGUUAAUCGGAAUAACUGGGCGUAAAGGGCACGCAGGCGGUGACUUAAGUGAGAUGUGAAAGCCCCGAGCUUAACUUGGGAAUUGCAUUUCAUACUGGGUCGCUAGAGUACUUUAGGGAGGGGUAGAAUUCCACGUGUAGCGGUGAAAUGCGUAGAGAUGUGGAGGAAUACCGAAGGCGAAGGCAGCCCCUUGGGAAUGUACUGACGCUCAUGUGCGAAAGCGUGGGGAGCAAACAGGAUUAGAUACCCUGGUAGUCCACGCUGUAAACGAUGUCGAUUUGGGGAUUGGGCUUUGAGCUUGGUGCCCGUAGCUAACGUGAUAAAUCGACCGCCUGGGGAGUACGGCCGCAAGGUUAAAACUCAAAUGAAUUGACGGGGGCCCGCACAAGCGG